GACGAACGCUGGCGGCGUGCUUAACACAUGCAAGUCGAACGGAAAGGCCCUGCUUUUGUGGGGUGCUCGAGUGGCGAACGGGUGAGUAACACGUGAGUAACCUGCCCUUGACCUUGGGAUAACUUCAGGAAACUGGGGCUAAUACCGGAUAGGAGCUCCUGCUGCAUGAUGGGGGUUGGAAAGUUUCGGCGGUUGGGGAUGGACUCGCGGCUUAUCAGCUUGUUGGUGGGGUAGUGGCUUACCAAGGCUUUGACGGGUAGCCGGCCUGAGAGGGUGACCGGCCACAUUGGGACUGAGAUACGGCCCAGACUCCUACGGGAGGCAGCAGUGGGGAAUAUUGCACAAUGGGCGGAAGCCUGAUGCAGCAACGCCGCGUGCGGGAUGACGGCCUUCGGGUUGUAAACCGCUUUCGCCUGUGACGAAGCGUGAGUGACGGUAAUGGGUAAAGAAGCACCGGCUAACUACGUG
rnacentral:rRNA from 1 species